AAUGAACGCUGGCGGCGCGCCUAAUACAUGCAAGUCGAGCGAGAAGGCGUAGCAAUACGUUUGUAAAGCGGCGAACGGGUGAGGAAUACAUGGGUAACCUACCCUCGAGUGGGGAAUAACUAGCCGAAAGGUUAGCUAAUACCGCGUACGCUUCUUGGACUUCGGUUCAGGGAGGAAAGCGAUGCCGAGGGUAUCGCGCUCUUGGAUGGGCUCAUGUCCUAUCAGCUUGUUGGNGAGGUAACGGCUCACCAAGGCUUCGACGGGUAGCUGGUCUGAGAGGACGAUCAGCCACACUGGCACUGCGACACGGGCCAGACUCCUACGGGAGGCAGCAGUAAGGAAUAUCGCGCAAUGGGCGAAAGCCUGACGCAGCGACGCCGCGUGGGGGAUGAAGGUCUUCGGAUUGUAAACCCCUUUCGGGAGGGAAGAUGGAA
rnacentral:rRNA from 1 species